UUCCGUCUUUAGGAAAGCUACUCUGUGAUCUGCGACUCAUGGGAAAAGGAAGUUAUAUAAGAUCUGAGGAAGUUUAGGAUCACUGGAGUAGAAGCAAUGGCAAGAAAUUUUCACAGAGGACUGCAGACUUCAAUCUCAAAUUGG